GGGUUGUGAGGUUAAGCGACUAAGCGUACACGGUGGAUGCCCUGGCAGUCAGAGGCGAUGAAGGGCGUGCUAAUCUGCGAUAAGCGCCGGUAAGGUGAUAUGAACCGUUAUAACCGGCGAUACCCGAAUGGGGAAACCCAGUGUGAUUCGUCACACUAUCAUUAACUGAAUCCAUAGGUUAAUGAGGCGAACCGGGGGAACUGAAACAUCUAAGUACCCCGAGGAAAAGAAAUCAACCGAGAUUCCCCCAGUAGCGGCGAGCGAACGGGGAGGAGCCCAGAGCCUGAAUCAGCAUGUGUGUUAGUGGAAGCGUCUGGAAAGGCGCGCGAUACAGGGUGACAGCCCCGUACACAAAAGCGCAUGUGCUGUGAGCUCGAUGAGUAGGGCGGGACACGUGGUAUCCUGUCUGAAUAUGGGGGGACCAUCCUCCAAGGCUAAAUACUCCUGACUGACCGAUAGUGAACCAGUACCGUGAGGGAAAGGCGAAAAGAACCCCGGCGAGGGGAGUGAAAAAGAACCUGAAACCGUGUACGUACAAGCAGUGGGAGCACCCUUCGGGGUGUGACUGCGUACCUUUUGUAUAAUGGGUCAGCGACUUAUAUUCUGUAGCAAGGUUAACCGUAUAGGGGAGCCGGAGGGAAACCGAGUCUUAAUUGGGCGUUAAGUUGCAGGGUAUAGACCCGAAACCCGGUGAUCUAGCCAUGGGCAGGUUGAAGGUUGGGUAACACUAACUGGAGGACCGAACCGACUAAUGUUGAAAAAUUAGCGGAUGACCUGUGGCUGGGGGUGAAAGGCCAAUCAAACCGGGAGAUAGCUGGUUCUCCCCGAAAGCUAUUUAGGUAGCGCCUCGUGAAUUCAUCUCCGGGGGUAGAGCACUGUUUCGGCUAGGGGGCCAUCCCGGCUUACCAACCCGAUGCAAACUGCGAAUACCGGAGAAUGUUAUCACGGGAGACACACGGCGGGUGCUAACGUCCGUCGUGAAGAGGGAAACAACCCAGACCGCCAGCUAAGGUCCCAAAGUCAUGGUUAAGUGGGAAACGAUGUGGGAAGGCCCAGACAGCCAGGAUGUUGGCUUAGAAGCAGCCAUCAUUUAAAGAAAGCGUAAUAGCUCACUGGUCGAGUCGGCCUGCGCGGAAGAUGUAACGGGGCUAAACCAUGCACCGAAGCUGCGGCAGCGAACGUAUCACCCAAGACAACUUUACGGAGUUGACGAUUGACGGAGCGAAGCGACGUCAAAGCGUUCAUUAAAGUCGAGUUGGCUUAGGGAUACGUUCGUUGGGUAGGGGAGCGUUCUGUAAGCCUGUGAAGGUGUGUCGUGAGGCAUGCUGGAGGUAUCAGAAGUGCGAAUGCUGACAUAAGUAACGAUAAAGCGGGUGAAAAGCCCGCUCGCCGGAAGACCAAGGGUUCCUGUCCAACGUUAAUCGGGGCAGGGUGAGUCGACCCCUAAGGCGAGGCCGAAAGGCGUAGUCGAUGGGAAACGGGUUAAUAUUCCCGUACUUGGUGUUACUGCGAAGGGGGGACGGAGAAGGCUAUGUUGGCCGGGCGACGGUUGUCCCGGUUUAAGCGUGUAGGUGUGUGUUCCAGGUAAAUCCGGUUCACUUUAACACUGAGGCGUGACGACGAGGCACUACGGUGCUGAAGCAACAAAUGCCCUGCUUCCAGGAAAAGCCUCUAAGCAUCAGGUAACACGAAAUCGUACCCCAAACCGACACAGGUGGUCAGGUAGAGAAUACCAAGGCGCUUGAGAGAACUCGGGUGAAGGAACUAGGCAAAAUGGUGCCGUAACUUCGGGAGAAGGCACGCUGACACGUAGGUGAAGUGAUUUACUCAUGGAGCUGAAGUCAGUCGAAGAUACCAGCUGGCUGCAACUGUUUAUUAAAAACACAGCACUGUGCAAACACGAAAGUGGACGUAUACGGUGUGACGCCUGCCCGGUGCCGGAAGGUUAAUUGAUGGGGUCAGCGUAAGCGAAGCUCCUGAUCGAAGCCCCGGUAAACGGCGGCCGUAACUAUAACGGUCCUAAGGUAGCGAAAUUCCUUGUCGGGUAAGUUCCGACCUGCACGAAUGGCGUAAUGAUGGCCAGGCUGUCUCCACCCGAGACUCAGUGAAAUUGAACUCGCUGUGAAGAUGCAGUGUACCCGCGGCAAGACGGAAAGACCCCGUGAACCUUUACUAUAGCUUGACACUGAACAUUGAGCCUUGAUGUGUAGGAUAGGUGGGAGGCUUUGAAGUGUGGACGCCAGUCUGCAUGGAGCCGACCUUGAAAUACCACCCUUUAAUGUUUGAUGUUCUAACGUGGACCCGUAAUCCGGGUUGCGGACAGUGUCUGGUGGGUAGUUUGACUGGGGCGGUCUCCUCCUAAAGAGUAACGGAGGAGCACGAAGGUUGGCUAAUCCUGGUCGGACAUCAGGAGGUUAGUGCAAUGGCAUAAGCCAGCUUGACUGCGAGCGUGACGGCGCGAGCAGGUGCGAAAGCAGGUCAUAGUGAUCCGGUGGUUCUGAAUGGAAGGGCCAUCGCUCAACGGAUAAAAGGUACUCCGGGGAUAACAGGCUGAUACCGCCCAAGAGUUCAUAUCGACGGCGGUGUUUGGCACCUCGAUGUCGGCUCAUCACAUCCUGGGGCUGAAGUAGGUCCCAAGGGUAUGGCUGUUCGCCAUUUAAAGUGGUACGCGAGCUGGGUUUAGAACGUCGUGAGACAGUUCGGUCCCUAUCUGCCGUGGGCGCUGGAGAACUGAGGGGGGCUGCUCCUAGUACGAGAGGACCGGAGUGGACGCAUCACUGGUGUUCGGGUUGUCAUGCCAAUGGCACUGCCCGGUAGCUAAAUGCGGAAGAGAUAAGUGCUGAAAGCAUCUAAGCACGAAACUUGCCCCGAGAUGAGUUCUCCCUGAGACUUAGAGUCUCCUGAAGGAACGUUGAAAACGACGACGUUGAUAGGCCGGGUGUGUAAGCGCAGCGAUGCGUUGAGCUAACCGGUACUAAUGAACCGUGAGGCUUAACCUUACAACGCCGAAG
rnacentral:rRNA from 1 species